AGAUUGUGAUGUGGACAUUUUUUUAACAAGUCUAUAAAUCUCUCCCAUGCCUCAAAUAAUGAUUUAGAGUCCAAUUGUGCAUAAGAUGUAAUCUCUUGAUGCAACUU